CCGACUGCUAUUUGGGUGAGGAUAAGCCAUGCGAGUUGAAUGGGAAACCUAAAGUUCCCAUGGCAAACUGCUCAGUAACACAUGAUCAACUUACCCUAUAGAGAAAAAUAACCUCGGGAAACUGAGGAUAAUGUUUCAUAGUUGAGUUGGCUUGGAAAAGUUUUACGAUAAAAGGGGUAAAAAAAAUGGUUUUUAUCUGCUAUAGGAUAGGAUCGUGUUCGAUUAUGGUUGUUGGUGAGGUAAUGGCUCACCAAGCCGAUAAUCGAUAGGGGCCGUGAGAGCGGGAGCCCCGAGAUGGGUACUGAGACAACGACCCAGGCCUUACGAGGCGCAGCAGGCGCGAAACCUCCGCAAUACACGAAAGUGUGACGGGGUUACCCAAAGUGUUCAAUUUUGAACUGUGGUAGGUGAGUAAUGUUCCCUACUAGAAGGGAGAGGGCAAGGCUGGUGCCAGCCGCCGCGGUAAAACCAGCUCUUCAAGUGGUCGGGAUAAUUAUUGGGCUUAAAGUGUCCGUAGCCGGUUUAGUAAGUUCCUGGUAAAAUCGGGUAGCUUAACUAUCUAUAUGCUAGGAAUACUACUAUACUAGAGGGCGGGAGAGGUCUGAGGUACUACAGGGGUAGGGGUGAAAUCUUAUAAUCCUUGUUGGACCACCAGUGGCGAAGGCGUCAGACUGGAACGCGCCUGACGGUGAGGGACGAAAGCCAGGGGAGCGAACCGGAUUAGAUACCCGGGUAGUCCUGGCCGUAAACGAUGCAUACUAGGUGAUGGCACGGCCGUGAGCCGUGUCAGUGCCGUAGGGAAACCGUUAAGUGUGCCGCCUGGGAAGUACGGUCGCAAGGCUAAAACUUAAAGGAUUGGCGGGG
rnacentral:rRNA from 1 species